GAUGAAGAACGUAGCGAAAUGCGAUAAGUAAUGUGAAUUGCAGAAUUCAGUGAAUCAUCGAAUCUUUGAACGCACAUUGCGCCCCCUGGUAUUCCGGGGGGCAUGCCUGUCCGAGCGUCAUUACAACCCUCAAGCUCAGCUUGGUAUUGGGCCCCGCCGACCCGGCGGGCCCUAAAGUCAGUGGCGGUGCCGUCCGGCUCCGAGCGUAGUAAUUCUUCUCGCUCUGGAGGUCCGGUCGUGUGCUCGCCAGCAACCCCCAAUUUUUUUCUGGUUGACCUCGGAUCAGGUAGGGAUACCCGCUGAACUUAAGCAUAUCAAUAAGCGGAGGA
rnacentral:misc_RNA from 1 species